rnacentral:lncRNA from 1 species
CGGGCGCUUAUUUUUGGGCGCGGCUUUGCCCGCGGCUUAUUUUUGACGCCCCGAGGCCCCUCGCAAAGUCUCGCCCCAUUCCGAGUCCGGCGGACGAACUUCGCCAGCGCCCCCCACCAAGGCUAUAGCCCACCCAUUUUAUGGCCAUUUUUCCGCUGGGGGGUUUUGGCACCACGACCUUCGGUCGCUUAUUUUUGGGCACGGCUGUGCCCGCGACUUCCCGCUUGCACCCCGAGGCCCCUCGCAAAGUCUCGCCCCAUUCCGAGUCCGGCGGAUGAACUUCGCCCGCGCCCCCCACCAAGGCUAUAGCCCACCCAUUUUUUGGCCAUUUUUCCGCUGGGGGGUUUUGGCACCACGACCUUCGGGCGCUUAUUUUUGGGCGCGGCUGUGCCCGCGACUUCCCGCGGGCACCCCGAGGCCCCUCGCAAAGUCUCGCCCAAUUCCAAGUCCGGCGGACGAACUUCGCCCGUGCCCCCCACCAGGGCUAUAGCCCACCCAUUUUAUGGCCAUUUUUCCGCUGGGGGGUUUUGGCACCACGACCUUCGGGCGCUUAUUUUUGGGCACUACUGUGCCCGCGACUUCCCGCUUGCACCCCGAGGCCCCUCGCAAAGUCUCGCCCAAUUCCGAGUCCGGCGGACGAACUUCGCCCGCGCCCCCCACCAAGGCUAUAGCCCACCCGUUUUUUGGGCAUUUUUCCGCUGGGGGGUUUUGGCACCACGAUCUUCGGGCACUUAUUUUUCGGCACGGCUUUGCCCACGGCUUAUUUUUGGUGCCCCGAGGCCCCUCGCAAAGUCUCGCCCCAUUCCGAGUCCGGCGGACGAACUUCGCCCGCGCCCCCCACCAAGGCUAUAGCCCACCCAUUUUUUGGCCAUUUUUCCACUGGGGGGUUUUGGCACCACGACCUUCGGGCGCUUAUUUUUGGGCGCGGCUGUGCCCGCGACUUCCCGCGGGCACCCCGAGGCCCCUCGCAAAGUCUCGCCCAAUUCCAAGUCCGGCGGACGAACUUCGCCCGCCCCCCCCACCAAGGCUAUAGCCCACCCGUUCUUUGGUCAUUUUUCCGCUGGGGGGUUUUGGCACCACGACCUUGGGGCGCUUAUUUUUGGGCGCGGCUGUGCCCGCGACUUCCCGCGGGCACCCCGAGGCCCCUCGCAAAGUCUCGCCCCAUUCCGAGUCCGGCGGACGAACUUCACCCGCGCCCCCCACCAAGGCUAUAGCCCACCCGUUUUUUGACCAUUUUUCCGCUGGGGGGUUUUGGGACCACGACCUUCGUUCGCUUAUUUUUGGGCGCGGCUGUUCCCGCGACUUCCCGUGGGCACCCCGAGGCCCCUCGCAAAGUCUCGCCCCAUUCCGAGUCUGGCGGACGAACUUCGCCCGCGCCCCCCACCAAGGCUAUAGCCUACCCGUUUUUUGGCCAUUUUUCCGCUGGGGGGUUUUGGCACCACGACCUUCGGGCGCUUAUUUUUGGGCGCGGCUUUGCCCGUGGCUUAUUUUUGGCGCCCCGAGGCCCCUCGCAAAGUCUCGCCCCAUUCCGUGUCCGGCGGACGAACUUCGCCCGCGCCCCCCACCAAGGCUAUAGCCCACCCAUUUUUUGGCCAUUUUUCCGCUGGGGGGUUUUGGCACCACGACCUUCGGGCGCUUAUUUUUGGGCGUGGCUGUGCCCGCGACUUCCCGCGGGCACCCCGAGGCCCCUCGCAAAGUCUCGCCCAAUUCCGAGUCCGGCGGACGAACUUCGCCCGCGCCCCCCACCAAGGCUAUAGCCCACCCGUUUUUUGGCCAUUUUUCCGCUGGGGGGUUUUGGCACCACGACCUUCGGGCGCUUAUUUUUGGGCGCGGCUGUGCCCGCGACUUCCCGCGGGCACCCCGAGGCCCCUCGCAAACUCUCGCCCAAUUCCAAGUCCGGCGGACGAACUUCGCCCGCCCCCCCCACCAAGGCUAUAGCCCACCCGUUCUUUGGUCAUUUUUCCGCUGGGGGGUUUUGGCACCACGACCUUGGGGCGCUUAUUUUUGGGCGCGGCUGUGCCCGCGACUUCCCGCGGGCACCCCGAGGCCCCUCGCAAAGUCUCGCCCCAUUCCGAGUCCGGCGGACGAACUUCACCCGCGCCCCCCACCAAGGCUAUAGCCCACCCGUUUUUUGGCCAUUUUUCCGCUGGGGGGUUUUGGUACCACGACCUUCGUUCGCUUAUUUUUGGGCGCGGCUGUGCCCGCGACUUCCCGUGGGCACCCCGAGGCCCCUCGCAAAGUCUCGCCCCAUUCCGAGUCUGGCGGACGAACUUCGCCCGCGCCCCCCACCAAGGCUAUAGCCUACCCGUUUUUUGGCCAUUUUUCCGCUGGGGGGUUUUGGCACCACGACCUUCGGGCGCUUAUUUUUGGGCGCGGCUUUGCCCGUGGCUUAUUUUUGGCGCCCCGAGGCCCCUCGCAAAGUCUCGCCCCAUUCCGAGUCCGGCGGACGAACUUCGCCCACGCCCCCCACCAUGGCUAUAGCCCACCCGUUUUUUGGCCAUUUUUCCGCUGGGGGGUUUAGGCACCACGACUUCGGGGCGCUUAUUUUGGGCGCGGCUGGCCCGGCGACUUCCCGCGGGCACCCCGAGGCCCGUCGCAAAGUCUCGCCCCAUUCGGAGUCCGGCGGAUGAACUUCGCCCGCGCCCCCCACCAAGGCUAUAGCCCACCCGUUUUUUGGCCAUUUUUCCGCUGGGGGGUUUUGGCACCACGACCUUCGGGCACUUAUUUUUGGGCGCGGCUUUGCCCGCGGCUUAUUUUUGGCGCCCCGAGGCCCCUCGCAAUGUCUCGCCCCAUUCCGAGUCCGGCGGACGAACUUCGCCCGCGCCCCCCACCAAGGCUAUAGCCCACCUUUUUCGUGGCCAGUUUUCCGCUGCGGGGCUUUGGCACCACGACUUUCGGGCGUGGCUGUGCCCGCUACUUCCCGCGGGCACCCCGAGGCCACUCGCAAAGUCUCGCCCAAUUCCGAGUCCGGCGGAUGAACUUCGCCCGCGCCCCCCACCAAGGCUAUAGCCCACCCGUUUUUUGGCCAUUUUUCCGCUGGGGGGUUUUGGCACCACGACCUUCGGGCACUUAUUUUUGGGUGCGGCUUUGCCCGCGGCUUAUUUUUGGCGCCCCGAGGCCCCUCGCAAAGUCUCGCCCCAUUCCGAGUCCGGCGGACGAACUUCGCCCGCGCCCCCCACCAAGGCUAUAGCCCACCCGUUUUUUGGCCAUUUUUCCGCUGGGGGGUUUUGGCACCACGACAUGCGGGCGCUUAUUUUUGGGCGCGGCUUUUCCCGCUGCUUAUUUUUGGCGCCCCGAGGCCCCUCGCAAAGUCUCGCCCCAUUCCGAUUCCGGCGGACGAACUUCGCCCGCGCCCACCACCAAGGCUAUAGCCCACCCGUUUUUUGGCCAUUUUUCCGCUGGGGGGUUUUUGCACCACGACCUUCGGGCGCUUUUUUUUGGGCGCGGCUUUGCCCGCGGCUUAUUUUUGGCGCCCCGAGGCCCCUCGCAAAGUCUCGCCCCAUUCCGAGUCCGGCGGAUGAACUUCGCCCGCGCCCCCCACCAAGGCUAUAGCCCACCCGUUUUUUGGCCAUUUUUCCGCUGGGGGGUUUUUGCACCACGACCUUCGGGUGCUUAUUUUUGGGCGCGGCUUUACCCGCGGCUUAUUUUUGGCGCCCCGAGGCCCCUCGCAAAGUCUCGCCCCAUUCCGAGUCCGGCGGACGAACUUCGCCCGCGCCCCCCACCAAGGCUAUAGCCCACCCGUUUUUUGGCCAUUUUUCCGCUGGGGGGUUUUGGCACCAUGACCUUCGGGCGCUUAUUUUUGGGCGCGGCUUUGCCCGUGGCUUAUUUUUGGCGCCCCGAGGCCCCUCGCAAAGUCUCGCCCCAUUCCGAGUCCGGCGGACAAACUUCGCCCGCGCCCCCCACCAAGGCUAUAGCCCACCCGUUUUUUGGCCAUUUUUCCGCUGGGGGGUUCUGGCACCACCACCUUCGGGCGCUUAUUUAUGGGUGCGGCUUUGCACGUGGUUUAUUUUUGGCGCCCCGAGGCCCCUCGCAAAGUCUCGCCC